rnacentral:lncRNA from 1 species
GUGCGAGUUCAACUAUGGGUUCUUAAUAGCAUGGUGUGCUUUUCUCUUGCUAGGAAAUUUUUGUCUUCUUUGGCUAUACCACGAUAUUUUGCUAGGCACAGACACUUAAUUUCCUUAACCAUUUGGUUUACGAGCCGAAGUUCAAGGAAACUGGGAGGCAAUGUUUGGACUCGAUUUUACACCAUCGGCCCAAGCGAUUGAGGCCGUUGAGUGAACUUGGUUCUUGACCGUCGGAUAAGGAAGUUAAGAUAUUUUGUUAUUGUUAAGAGAUAAUAUUAUGGUUUUUAAUCAUAAUAAUUAUCUUUAUCUCGGUUUUCUUGUACAAAAUAAGUGGGAUUCUCAUUAUCUUUAAUGGGAAGCAGUAACAACAGAGUUCAGAUUAACUUGGGUCUGCUGGUUGUAGACGUGUUGAUUGAUAGGAGAUCAUCACGAGGGAUUUGAUAUCAUCUAAAGAAAAUAAUAUUCAUGGAUAAUGAUGGCAUAGGAAACCUAGGUAGACUAGGCUUUUUGUUUUGCUUGGUGAUGGAUGUGACAGAUGGGUUUGAAAUGAUAAAGAUGCUUUGAAUUUUCAAAGUCUCUUUGUGAAAGUCUGGACGCAACGCAAGGAGGUUGGCAAGAUUUUUGGCAGAAUAUAUUAAAGAUAAUAUCGGUUGUUUUGAUAUUGUUUUUUGGAGUAUAUCUGGGAAAAGGCUUUAUUGGAUUGGUGAUCACGUAGACUUGGCUAUAAAUACAAAGCUGUAGAUAACGGAAAAGCCCCUCCAACUCAACACACAAAUUGCCCUGCGUAAACUCUCGCUCUACGCGAAACCUCUCAACAACCUUGAGUUUUUUUGUUUUCUUUUUCGCCAACACAUCUUCAGUUUGGAUAAACAGCACUGCGACAAGGCCAACUGGUUAUCUAUCCAAGUCUCGGUCGAGAAGGAUUUUCGAAUCCUUAUUGGUAGAGGACAUCUCAUCAGCCUUCUCAGCAAAGUAAGGUGUUACCAAUUUACUACAUUCGGCACCCUGGGAGCCAAAUUUGAUAUUGAACUUCGCAGGACUAGCAGCCUUGUCUUCAGGUUCUAGAACCUGUUGGCCGAGGGAGUUUAGUUUUUCCACAAGAAAGAUGGGCCGAAUAAAGACCGCAAAUUUGAUAGUAGUUUUGGAGUCUGUACUUUUAAAAUAUUGAUUUGGAUGCCUCAUGCUUUGGAUGGAGUAAAUUGUUCAGAGGUUGGUUUUCCCAAGAUUGGUUUAUAU